rnacentral:rRNA from 1 species
UACGAAGGGGGCUAGCGUUGUUCGGAAUUACUGGGCGUAAAGCGCACGUAGGCGGCUUCAAAAGUCGGAUGUGAAAUCCCACGGCUCAACCGUGGACGUGCAUCCGAAACUGGGAGGCUUGAGUACUGAAGAGGAUCGCGGAAUUCCCGGUGUAGAGGUGAAAUUCGUAGAUAUCGGGAGGAACACCAGUGGCGAAGGCGGCGAUCUGGGCAGAUACUGACGCUGAGGUGCGAAAGCGUGGGGAGCAAACAGG